rnacentral:lncRNA from 1 species
UGCAGACAUGAGGGGACAAGUGCACAACAUUGAGCCCCGCGGUCCUGGGAAACAAGGGUUCACUAAGCUUACAACUCUUUGGUUUCUUCCUGUAUCUCAUCCAGUCCAAGAGGAGAGGAUUGUAGGAUGGUUUCAGGUGGUGUCACUUACAAAGGUUCUGGCUGUUUUAGAAGAAAAACUUCUUGUCACAAUCUGUGCAUUGUAUCCUUGUCAUUCCCACUGGAUGAAGGCUAGAAAGAAAGUAUGAGGUCCUUUACUGGUGGAUAGUGUCAAUACCUACGUUAGGGAUGGCUAGCUCUCAAUUGCUUUUACUGUAGUUUAAAGGAAGCAUGUCCUUGGCUUCUGCUCCUAAAUGCGCUCUUGAUGUUGACAGUCUAUGCAACUAUCAACCAGUAGUUAAUUUUCCACUUUUUGGUCAGGAUUGGAACAUGUUAUGGUGAAACAACUCAGAGUACCUGGAUGCUUCCACCUUUCUUGCCCUUAUCAAUAGAAAUUCUGAUAUUAUCAGAUCUAUCAGCUGUCUUCAAUACUGUGUCUCAUGAAAGGUGGCUGACACAUUCAUAGUCCAUGGAAAUAGCAGAUUGGGCUACAUUUUAGGGGCAUCACUCCUGAGAUAUCCCAGAGGUUAUUGUUGGACAAUCACACUUCUGCCCCAAAGGCUGUCAUGUGGAGUGCCAUAAGAAUCUUCUUUGCCACCAUAUUAUUAAACGCAAUUGCUCCCUUCUUGUUCAGGCUGGUAGUGAAAUACACUCAGACAGGUCUAUACCUGGUACAUGGUAGUGGUACAGUGGGCUUGCUGAUGCAUUUGUGAGACUCAGUGUUGGCUUGAUCUAUUCUCCAUCAACAUGCACAGGAUAGGGAUGUGAUGGCACAAGGGAGGAUGCUCUCCCACCCAUGCAGAUACCCACAGAGGUGGGAGAAUGUUUUGGCAAUAUGUAAGUAACUCCAUUGAUUUCUGGAGCUACUCAGCUUGAGUAAGAGUGCCAGGAACAGGCCCUUUGAAAGGAAAAAAAAAAUAGCUGCAAAGUUAUAAAAGAGGAGUAGUAUACAAAAAUAACGUUGCCAUUAUAAUCUUAAUCACGUUCCUGUUCACAUUAGAUCUGUUUUCUCCCACCAAAUAUUAUAUCCCUUUUGUAUUUAUGUUACUUUAUUUUAUUUACAAGCUCCUGUGAACAUUAUCAGUGGCAAUACUACUUAAUGGGCACAGCCCAGUGACAGCAAUAGAUUUCUGACUGAUAGUAAGCACUAUACCUGGUUGUAAUGGUAUGCAGGAUCAGAUCCU